GGGGUCAUUUGCUGUGAUGCUGCACUGACCUGGACAUCCUUGUAGAUCCUGGCUUUGAGGUGGGCAGGAGGAGAUGGAGCUGCCGUUUAGCCCACCUGGUGGAGCAAGGCGGUGAGCAGGGCCUGUUGCCUGUGACCACAGAGUCCUGCUUUGUCCUCAGGCCCUGGGAGCAGAGCCAAGCAAUGGAUACUGAUGACAUUUGGACAUCAUUCUUAAAUUCAACACAGCAGCUCACACUGGGAAUUUCUAGCUCAGAAAGGAUCCAAGUAGGGGGAUGAUUUGCCCCCUUCCCCCAAUUGGGCACCACACAGUCAGCAGGGAAAUGCACUAGGGUUUGGACAGAGAGCGUGCAGGGUGGGCAGCAGCACUGGAGGCAGCGUGGUGGUCGUGCCAGAGUUAUGGGAGAAAACACAUGUCAGUUGGACCUAACUGCAUCAUAGAGACUUCAUUGUUAGGGUCCACAAACCAGGCCAGCAGCCACAGUCUGUCCUCCCGUGGGAGAGCCUGGUGCCAGAUCCCAAAGACCAGAGACACAAAGAUAUCUGUGUCCAAGGGAUCCAAGGGGAAGGAGCCAUCCUGGAGCUCCAGGAGGGUGCAGCACAGGCAGCCUGAAGCACCACACUGCACAGGGAUGCACUCCUGUCCCUGGGGCCCAGCCAUCGUCAGACCAUUUGGACAGAUGAAGGCAUCUGAGGAGUCACAACCGUCAGGAUCCUGUCUCCAAGCACCUGCCUGACAAGUAGUCCCACCAUGAGGGGAACCAAAAACCCAAAACAACCACAACCAAAAGGCCUCUUCCAGCCAUGGGAAGCCAGCCAGCCCUUGCUCUUUUCAGACCCGCUCAGCCAGGGUCUGCAAGGCCAUCUCAGCCAGCUUGGGUACAUCGAGGCCCCCAACCAACCUGUGUUCUGUGAGUGCCUGCUCUAUGCCUAAACUUGCCAAGAGAGAAGAACCAGAGCUGAUCCCUGGCCCCGCCUGAGAGGGAUCUGGGCAGCUUGCAGGUGGGCAUCUGUGAAGGUCCAGUGCCAAGCAGAACUGCAGUAGCUGUAGAAUAAUACAUUUCUUGCAGGGGUUUGGCCUCAAGCAGGGAUUUGGUUCCUCAGCCUGUGGGGCUGCUGCUGCUGUUUCUGCAUCUGAGGCUGUGGCCCAGAGCCUGUAUGACAGGGCAAGCAUUCAAGGAGGAUGACAGAUGUCAAGUGUAGGAAGCAAGACCAAGUGGCCCCUGCGGCUGCACAGGACCCACAAGGACCAGCUGAAACUGCUUUGAUCUCUAGUAGGAGAGGCCAGAGCAGGGGCUACAGCAGGACCUGAAAGUGGCCACCAGCAGUUGCCCCAUGCUGACCGGGUGAGCCAGGGGGUCAGGCACACGGCCUGCACGGACCUAUGAGCGGGCAGGCUGCUCCCAUGCUGCAGCCUUCUGCGUCACAACAUGUGCUUCAGGCUGCCUUGGAACUAUUCAGAGAAGACAAUUCUGAGGAAUAACGGCCAGCUCAGCUAAGAUGACCCGACAGAAACCACCCAACAGGUAUCCAGGACGCAACCUGACAGGUGAUCAUCUCUCCUAGGAAGAGAGAGUAUCAGAGCUCCAGAAACACAACUGUGAGGAAUUCAGCUGCUCUUUUAAAAUGAGGUCCAGAGAUCAGGAAGGCUCCAGGGAGUUGGAAACAUCUCAGCUGGUUUUGGGAAUCAGAUACCAAUGUCUUCAUGCACCUGAAAUGACUUGAAGAGAAUGAUCUGAAGAGAUGCAGGCUGUGGGAUGCUGUCCAAUGGAAGAUGUGCCAAUCCUGGACCUGUCUGCCCUCAGAGCCAGUCCAAGCCCUUUCCCUCUCUGCAUUAUGGGGAUGGGCUUCAGGGAAGGAAGGAUUGAGCCUGUUAGACUGUCAUUCCUGGCUCCUGUGCCAAUUGGUUUCUGGUGGGAUUCACCCCAGAGAGAGGUGCUAAAAAGAGAGGUCAAAGGGAUUGCCGGGUGGAAGAGCUCCAAGCCCUCUCAGUUGUGGGAAACAUCCCUGUGACUCUGUGGGAAGGACCACAGAAAUGGGAGCAAUUUCAAGAGGGCAGACAGACUCUGCCCCCUGCCCUGCCAACACCCACAGCCACGAUGGCCUUUCCUCCUCCUCCCCUUCCUCCUUUUCCAUCUCGCCGCAAGCCCAGAUUUCAUGCUGAGCCCUGCACAUGAAGUGUCUCCUUUAAAUGUCAUAGAGACCCCAUUCUACAGAUGAAGACACCAACGCAUUGAGGACAUGAACAACAAGCCCAGAGGUACCCUGUCCCUCCACAGAGCUGGAUUCAGACCCAGUCUAGACCUAUUCCAGAGCCCAGCCUCACUGCGUCUGGGGCACGAUGGUCCCUGGCCUGGAGUGAAGAACACAAGAUCCGAACCUUCAGAGUACGCCUCUCUGCCUCAGCCAAGCUCUCUGAUCUGGAACCUCUGCAGGUUGUUUCUAAUUGAGAAGGUGCAGCAGAGCAGUUAGGGACCUGGACUCUCAAAUCCAGUACAGUCACAGGUUCCCAGCCACACGACCUGGGGAAGGCACCCAGCCACUCGCAGGCUGGCAGGAGGUUACGGAGGUCACAGAGGCACAGCCCUCACAGGAGAGGUGGGCGGCAUGGGCACUCAGGAAGUUAGCUGUUACCGGUCAUUAUACCUUGACACCCACUCUGCCUGUUUCUUCCCUCAAAUUUCUUGCAAGAGACCUCUGAAGAGAUUGGGAUUCUUGUUGAUUUAUGUUCAUUACUGAUGAAGUCACGACUGUCCACUCAGGGCCCAAGGACACCAGGACAAGUUAGCAGCCUGCACAGGAAUCCAGGAAGUUGUUAUUUUAAUCUUUAAUGCUAGUUUUUUUUUGCCAAGCUAAACAACUCCUAUCGGCCCCGUAGUAUGUUAACAUUUUGGGAAAAAUUUAUGAACUGCUCUAAUCCAUUUUUGGUAAAGCCCAUUACCUCUGAAUAUAGAAUCAAGGUUCCAAUUAAAGCUCUCCAUUACAGAAUUAAAGUUAUUUGCCAAACCAGAAGAGAAAAAAGAUCAUUUUUCAUAAUUUUGAAGUUCAUCUGCCUGAACAACCAGCAGUCUCCUUCCAGUCCUCAGGCAAGUGAUCAACUCAUUCAAUGUUUCAGAGCAUCAACCACAAAACAGAGAAACUUCUGGGAAUCUGGACAAAACAGUGCCUCCCCCCAAGGGAUCUCAGACAGUCGCUAGGGCUUGCACACACACAUAUGCGGCACAUACACACACUCACAUGUUUACUCUAGGAUCAUAACAUCUGUAGUCAAGGAGGUCCAAUGUUUUUAGGAAUAAAAAUAAAUCCCAAUUUCUUCCACUUUGGAAGCUCGUAGACAG